rnacentral:rRNA from 1 species
GAUGAACGCUGGCGGCGUGCCUAAUACAUGCAAGUCGAGCGAACGGACGAGAAGCUUGCUUCUCUGAUGUUAGCGGCGGACGGGUGAGUAACACGUGGAUAACCUACCUAUAAGACUGGGAUAACUUCGGGAAACCGGAGCUAAGACCGGAUAAUAUUUUGAACCGCAUGGUUCAAAAGUGAAAGACGGUCUUGCUGUCACUUAUAGAUGGAUCCGCGCUGCAUUAGCUAGUUGGUAAGGUAACGGCUUACCAAGGCAACGAUGCAUAGCCGACCUGAGAGGGUGAUCGGCCACACUGGAACUGAGACACGGUCCAGACUCCUACGGGAGGCAGCAGUAGGGAAUCUUCCGCAAUGGGCGAAAGCAUGACGGAGCAACGCCGCGUGAGUGAUGAAGGUCUUCGGAUCGUAAAACUCUGUUAUUAGGGAAGAACAUAUGUGUAAGUAAAUGUGCACAUAUUGACGGUACCUAAUCAGAAAGCCACGGCUAACUACGUG